GGGCGCGUAGCUCAGUGGGAGAGCACGGUGUUCACACCGCAGGGGUCGGCAGUUCAAUCCUGCCCGCGCCCACCA
rnacentral:tRNA from 2 species